rnacentral:ncRNA from 1 species
GGCUCAGGAGAGCUCCGAACACGGACGCCGAAGGGGAAAGCAGAAACUCUCAGGCAAAAGGACUGUGCC